rnacentral:rRNA from 1 species
UACGUAGGGUGCAAGCGUUAAUCGGAAUUACUGGGCGUAAAGCGUGCGCAGGCGGUUUUGUAAGUCUGUCGUGAAAGCCCCGGGCUCAACCUGGGAAUGGCAUUUGAAACUGGCGGGCUGGAGUGUGGCAGAGGGGGGUGGAAUUCCACGUGUAGCAGUGAAAUGCGUAGAGAUGUGGAGGAACACCGAUGGCGAAGGCAGCCCCCUGGGCCAACACUGACGCUCAGGCACGAAAGCGUGGGGAGCAAACAGG